CUAACUUUACAAUUAUAUAGACAUGAGUGUAAUGUUGAUCUAUAAUGCCUCUUGAUGUAUCUUACAGAGAAAACCUGUCCUGCAGGAUGGAAGAUGUUCAGUCAUAACUGUUAUUUCCUCUCUGAUAAGUCUGGUUCUUGGGAUAAAGGCAGAGAGGACUGUAAAGGCAAAGGAGCAGAUCUGUUGGUGAUAAACACCCCUGAAGAGCAGAAGUUUGUCUCAGAGUUUUCCAAGAAAACCAUUUGGAUUGGGUUGAACGACAAAGAUCAGGAGGGUGUCUGGAAAUGGAUAGAUGGAACUCCAUUUACUCGGAAGUACUGGGCGAUAAAUCAGCCUGAUAAUGGUGGUGGGAGCCCACGGUGGGGUGAAGAGGACUGUGUACAAAUCAAUGCUGAUGACACUCAUUGGAACGACCUGUCAUGUCAAACUUCUCUGCAAUGGAUCUGUGAAAAAAUUGCAUAACUCUGAUGGAUAACUUUUUUCAAGAUCAUAUAUUUGUAAAUGCUUU